AACAACGUAACAUAGCUUAACCAAAGCAUCUCGCUUACACCGAGAAUAUACCCGUGAAACUCAAGUUGUUACGAG
rnacentral:tRNA from 1 species